rnacentral:rRNA from 1 species
UACGAAGGGGGCUAGCGUUGUUCGGAAUUACUGGGCGUAAAGCGCGCGCAGGCGGCUAUCCAAGUCAGUGGUGAAAGCCCGGAGCUCAACUCCGGAAUUGCCAUUGAAACUGUUUAGCUUAAGUACGAGAGAGGUGAGUGGAAUUCCCAGUGUAGAGGUGAAAUUCGUAGAUAUUGGGAAGAACACCGGUGGCGAAGGCGGCUCACUGGCUCGUAACUGACGCUCAAGCGCGACAGCGUGGGGAUCAAACAGG